UACGUAGGGUGCAAGCGUUAAUCGGAAUUACUGGGCGUAAAGCGUGCGCAGGCGGUUUUGUAAGUCUGUCGUGAAAUCCCCGGGCUCAACCUGGGAAUUGCGAUGGAGACUGCAAGGCUAGAAUCUGGCAGAGGGGGGUAGAAUUCCACGUGUGAGCAGUGAAAUGCGUAGAGAUGUGGAGGAACACCGAUGGCGAAGGCAGCCCCCUGGGUCAAGAUUGACGCUCAUGCACGAAAGCGUGGGGAGCAAACAGGAUUACGAAACCGAGUGAGUCCA
rnacentral:rRNA from 1 species